rnacentral:rRNA from 1 species
CCUACGGGUGGCUGCAGUGGGGAAUAUUGGACAAUGGGGGGAACCCUGAUCCAGCCAUGCCGCGUGUGUGAAGAAGGCCCUCGGGUUUUAAAGCACUUUCAGUGAGGAAGAACGCCUGGUGGUUAAUACCCAUCAGGAAAGACAUCACUCACAGAAGAAGCACCGGCUAACUCCGUGCCAGCAGCCGCGGUAAUACGGAGGGUGCGAGCGUUAAUCGGAAUUACUGGGCGUAAAGCGCGCGUAGGUGGCUUGAUAAGCCGGUUGUGAAAGCCCCGGGCUCAACCUGGGAACGGCAUCCGGAACUGUUAAGCUAGAGUGCAGGAGAGGAAGGUAGAAUUCCCGGUGUAGCGGUGAAAUGCGUAGAGAUCGGGAGGAAUACCAGUGGCGAAGGCGGCCUUCUGGACUGACACUGACACUGAGGUGCGAAAGCGUGGGUAGCAAACAGGAUUAGAUACCCCUGUAGUA